GCAGCCGCGGGAAUACGGAGGGCGCGAGCGUUACCCGGAUUUACUGGGCGUAAAGGGCGUGUAGGCGGCCUGGGGCGUCCCAUGUGAAAGGCCACGGCUCAACCGUGGAGGAGCGUGGGAUACGCUCAGGCUAGAGGGUGGGAGAGGGUGGUGGAAUUCCCGGAGUAGCGGUGAAAUGCGCAGAUACCGGGAGGAACGCCGAUGGCGAAGGCAGCCACCUGGUCCACUUCUGACGCUGAGGCGCGAAAGCGUGGGGAGCAAACCGGAUUAGAUACCCCGGUAGUCCCUGUCUCUUAUACAC
rnacentral:rRNA from 1 species